GAUGAACGCUGGCGGCGUGCCUAAUACAUGCAAGUCGAGCGAAUGAAGAGGAGCUUGCUCCUCUGAUUUAGCGGCGGACGGGUGAGUAACACGUGGGUAAUCUGCCUGUAAGACGGGGAUAACUCCGGGAAACCGGGGCUAAUACCGGAUAACAAAAGAAGAAGCAUUUCUUCUUUUUGAAAGUCGGUUUCGGCUGACGCUUACAGAUGAGCCCGCGGCGCAUUAGCUAGUUGGUGAGGUAACGGCUCACCAAGGCGACGAUGCGUAGCCGACCUGAGAGGGUGAUCGGCCACACUGGGACUGAGACACGGCCCAGACUCCUACGGGAGGCAGCAGUAGGGAAUCUUCGGCAAUGGGCGAAAGCCUGACCGAGCAACGCCGCGUGAGCGAUGAAGGCCUUCGGGUCGUAAAGCUCUGUUGUUAGGGAAGAACACGUACGAGAGUAACUGCUCGUACCUUGACGGUACCUAACCAGAAAGCCACGGCUAACUACGUGCCAGCAGCCGCCGCCGUAA
rnacentral:rRNA from 1 species